rnacentral:rRNA from 1 species
UACAGAGGGGGCAAGCGUUGUUCGGAAUUACUGGGCGUAAAGGGCGCGUAGGCGGCCUGUUAAGUCGAACGUGAAAUCCCCGGGCUCAACCCGGGAACUGCGUCCGAUACUGGCAGGCUUGAAUCCGGGAGAGGGAUGCGGAAUUCCAGGUGUAGCGGUGAAAUGCGUAGAUAUCGAGAGGAACACCAGUGGCGAAGGCGAGUCCCUGGACAAAACCUGACACUGAGGCACGAAAGCUAGGGGAGCAAACAGG